UACGUAGGGGGCGAGCGUUGUCCGGAUUUAUUGGGCGUAAAGAGCUCGUAGGCGGUUUGGUAAGUCGGGUGUGAAAACCCCAGGCUCAACCUGGGGACGCCACCUGAUACUGCCAUGACUUGAGUCUGGUAGGGGAUCACGGAAUUCCUGGUGUAGCGGUGAAAUGCGCAGAUAUCAGGAGGAACACCGGUGGCGAAGGCGGUGAUCUGGGCCAGUACUGACGCUGAGGAGCGAAAGCGUGGGUAGCAAACAGG
rnacentral:rRNA from 1 species